GUGGGGAAUAUUGCACAAUGGGCGCAAGCCUGAUGCAGCAACGCCGCGUGAGGGACGACGGCCUUCGGGUUGUAAACCUCUUUUAGCAGGGAAGAAGCGAAAGUGACGGUACCUGCAGAAAAAGCACCGGCUAACUACGUGCCAGCAGCCGCGGUAAUACGUAGGGUGCAAGCGUUGUCCGGAAUUAUUGGGCGUAAAGAGCUCGUAGGCGGUUUGUCGCGUCUGCUGUGAAAACCCGAGGCUCAACCUCGGGCCUGCAGUGGGUACGGGCAGACUAGAGUGCGGUAGGGGAGAUUGGAAUUCCUGGUGUAGCGGUGGAAUGCGCAGAUAUCAGGAGGAACACCGAUGGCGAAGGCAGAUCUCUGGGCCGUAACUGACGCUGAGGAGCGAAAGCGUGGGGAGCGAACAGGAUUAGAAACCCGAGUAGUCC
rnacentral:rRNA from 1 species